rnacentral:rRNA from 1 species
CCCACGUCCUCAGUAGUAUCAAUUGGAGGGCAGUCUGGUGCCAGCAGCCGCGGUAAUUCCAGCUCCAAUAGCGUAUAUUAAAAUUGUUGCAGUUAAAAAGCUCGUAGUUGAAUUUCUGCUGCAUUGCUUUUGCUCCUUUACGAGUCUUUGCAUUGUGGCUUAUUUCGGACUUUGUUUUACAAUGUCCGGAUGUUUACUUUGAGAAAAUUAGAGUGCUCAAAGCAGGCUUUCGCCUUGAAUAGUUUAGCAUGGAAUAAUAAAGUAGGACUUUGGUUCUAUUUUGUUGGUUUUAGGUACCAAAGUAAUGGUUAAUAGGAACAGUUGGGGGCAUUCGUAUUUAACUGUCAGAGGUGAAAUUCUUAGAUUUGUUAAAGACGAACUACUGCGAAAGCAUUUGCCAAGGAUGUUUUCAUUAAUCAAGAACGAAAGUUAGGGGAUCGAAGACGAUCAGAUACCGUCGUAGUCCUAACCAUAAACUAA